AUUGAACGCUGGCGGCAUGCUUUACACAUGCAAGUCGAACGGUAACAGGCCGCAAGGUGCUGACGAGUGGCGAACGGGUGAGUAAUGCAUCGGAACGUGCCCAGUCGUGGGGGAUAACGCAGCGAAAGCUGUGCUAAUACCGCAUACGAUCUGUGGAUGAAAGCGGGGGACCUUCGAGCCUCGCGCGAUUGGAGCGGCCGAUGUCAGAUUAGGUAGUAGGUGGGGUAAAGGCUCACCAAGCCGACGAUCUGUAGCUGGUCUGAGAGGACGACCAGCCACACUGGGACUGAGACACGGCCCAGACUCCUACGGGAGGCAGCAGUGGGGAAUUUUGGACAAUGGGCGCAAGCCCGAUCCAGCAAUGCCGCGUGCAGGAAGAAGGCCUUCGGGUUGUAAACUGCUUUUGUACGGAGCGAAAAGGCUCCCUCUAAUACAGGGGGCUCAUGACGGUACCGUAAGAAUAAGCACCGGCUAACUACGUGCCAGCAGCCGCGGUAA
rnacentral:rRNA from 1 species